rnacentral:rRNA from 1 species
AGAAUCAACGCUGGCGGCGUGCCUAACACAUGCAAGUCGCACGAGAAAGGGGAGCAAUCCCUGAGUAAAGUGGCGCACGGGUGAGUAACACGUGAAUAAUCUACCUCCGAGUGGGGAAUAACUGAGAGAAAUCUUAGCUAAUACCGCAUAACACUUACGAGUCAAAGCAGCAAUGCGCUUGGAGAGGAGUUCGCGGCCGAUUAGUUAGUUGGCGGGGUAAUGGCCCACAAGACGAUGAUCGGUA